AGAGUUUGAUCCUGGCUCAGGACGAACGCUGGCGGCGUGCCUAACACAUGCAAGUCGAACGGACGAGGCCCCUUCGGGGACCGAGUUAGUGGCGGACGGGUGAGUAACGCGUGAGCAACCUGCCUUUCAGAGGGGGACAACAGUUGGAAACGACUGCUAAUACCGCAUGAUGCAGCGAGAUCGCAUGGUCUUGCUGUCAAAGAUUUAUCGCUGAAAGAUGGGCUCGCGUCUGAUUAGCUAGUUGGAGGGGUAACGGCCCACCAAGGCGACGAUCAGUAGCCGGACUGAGAGGUUGAACGGCCACAUUGGGACUGAGAUACGGCCCAGACUCCUACGGGAGGCAGCAGUGGGGAAUAUUGGGCAAUGGGGGAAACCCUGACCCAGCAACGCCGCGUGAAGGAAGAAGGCUUUCGGGUUGUAAACUUCUUUUACCAGGGACGAAGAACGUGACGGUACCUGGAGAAAAAGCCACGGCUAACUACGUGCCAGCAGCCGCGGUAAUACGUGGGUGGCAAGCGUUGUCCGGAUUUACUGGGUGUAAAGGGCGUGUAGGCGGAGCUGCAAGUCAGAUGUGAAAUCUGGGGGCUUAACCCUCAAACUGCAUUUGAAACUGUAGCCCUUGAGUAUCGGAGAGGCAGGCGGAAUUCCUAGUGUAGCGGUGAAAUGCGUAGAUAUUAGGAAGAACACCAGUGGCGAAGGCGGCCUGCUGGACGACAACUGACGCUGAGGCGCGAAAGCGUGGGGAGCAAACAGGAUUAGAUACCCUGGUAGUCCACGCUGUAAACGAUGAAUACUAGGUGUGGGGGGACUGACCCCCUCCGUGCCGGAGUUAACACAAUAAGUAUUCCACCUGGGGAGUACGACCGCAAGGUUGAAACUCAAAGGAAUUGACGGGGGCCCGCACAAGCAGUGGAUUAUGUGGUUUAAUUCGACGCAACGCGAAGAACCUUACCGGGAUUUGACAUCCUACUAACGAAGCAGAGAUGCAUUAGGUGCCCUUCGGGGAAAGUAGAGACAGGUGGUGCAUGGUUGUCGUCAGCUCGUGUCGUGAGAUGUUGGGUUAAGUCCCGCAACGAGCGCAACCCCUAUUGUUAGUUGCUACGCAAGAGCACUCUAGCGAGACUGCCGUUGACAAAACGGAGGAAGGCGGGGACGACGUCAAAUCAUCAUGCCCCUUAUGUCCCGGGCUACACACGUAAUACAAUGGCGGUCAACAAAGGGAAGCAAAGCCGCGAGGCAGAGCAAACCCCCAAAAGCCGUCUCAGUUCGGAUUGCAGGCUGCAACUCGCCUGCAUGAAGCUGGAAUUGCUAGUAAUCGUGGAUCAGAAUGCCACGGUGAAUACGUUCCCGGGCCUUGUACACACCGCCCGUCACACCAUGAGAGUCGGGAACACCCGAAGUCCGUAGUCUAACCCGCAAGGGAGGGCGCGGCCGAAGGUGGGUCUGAUAAUUGGGGUGAAGUCGUAACAAGGUA
rnacentral:rRNA from 1 species